rnacentral:lncRNA from 10 species
GUCUCACUGGCUACAUAUUACGUAUUAACUCUCUGGUGAACUUUUCAGAAAAUACUGGUGAUCGUUUCCAAAUUAAAUGAAUCUGAAUCUCUAGGGGUGGGACUUGGGCAUUAAUACUUUUGAAAAUGUCCCAUAUGAUUCUAAUAUGCAGCUGGAAUUGAGAAUCACUUAAGUUUUACAGAGAGUCUGACCCAAGGAACACGAAUGAUCUUGUGGCUUAUGUUCUGGAAGAUGCCACUGCAGAUGUACUACCAGCAGAUGGCAGAAGAGGGAAAUUAAAAACAGGCCGGACGCUAGCCCUGAUUAAGAAGCACACCGGACACCAAAAGGAAUCUUUAAGGACUGAAGAAUUUCUUAAAAUUAUUCUCAAGGAUUGGUGUGGAGUUUUCUGGCUUUUCCUGAAAUUCAUACUUGGGUCUGAUAUUUGGGAAGUUCAAUGCAUGCAACCGAGGCAAGGGAGCACUGAGAAGCUCGAAGAUGAUCUGGUGAUUUCAAAGGCUGCUGUUGAAAAGGAGUAAAGGAUGUGGAGUCCUUCUUCUUCCCCUCCUGGUUCUCUGCAGGCCCCCUAUGAUGGAAGAACACUAAGCUACACGUCUGAGUAGAACAAACAAAAGCAGAGUAGCAGCAUUUGGGAAGAGACAAGGAUAUGGGGAGAAAGUGGGAGACUUCUUCUAACCCAGCCUGCUUCUAGGAACUUUCUUAGCUGGUCCAAACCUGGUUCUGGAAAGAAAAGAACAAACUGGUUUACCAAAGCUCUGAGUAAGGGCUAUCAGGACAGCUGCACAGGUUGGUCUGGGUUUGGCUAAGUGAGAUGACUGGGGCAAGGCUUUGUAAGUAAUAAAGCAGUAGAUGAGCAAGAGGAAGAUUAAUGUCAGUCAUUUAUUUUAAUCCAAAAAAGGCUUGGCUUUCAUUGUACUGUUGGAAUUUGGAGUCAGAACAAAACAGUACCAAGAAUGUUACAGAAUCCAAUCAAUCUUGGCUUUUAAAAUGCAGAAUGGCUUCACUGCUAU